UACGUAGGUGCAAGCGUUAUCCGGAAUUAUUGGGCGUAAAGAGCGCGCAGGUGGUUGAUUAAGUCUGAUGUGAAAGCCCACGGCUUAACCGUGGAGGGUCAUUGGAAACUGGUCGACUUGAGUGCAGAAGAGGGAAGUGGAAUUCCAUGUGUAGCGGUGAAAUGCGUAGAGAUAUGGAGGAACACCAGUGGCGAAGGCGGCUUCCUGGUCUGUAACUGACACUGAGGCGCGAAAGCAUGGGGAGCAAACAGGAUUAGAUA
rnacentral:rRNA from 1 species